ensembl:rRNA 5S_rRNA 5S ribosomal RNA
GAUAACAGCCAUGUCACCCUCAAGCCCAAAAGCGGUUACUUCCUGGAGCUAAGCAGGGCUGAGCCUGGCCAGUACCUGGCUGGGAGACCACAUGGGAAAACUAGGUUGCUGUUGGAA